AUUGAACGCUGGCGGCAUGCCUUACACAUGCAAGUCGAACGGUAACAGGUCUUCGGAUGCUGACGAGUGGCGAACGGGUGAGUAAUACAUCGGAACGUGCCCAGACGUGGGGGAUAACGAGGCGAAAGCUUUGCUAAUACCGCAUACGAUCUAAGGAUGAAAGCAGGGGACCGCAAGGCCUUGUGCGUUUGGAGCGGCCGAUGGCAGAUUAGGUAGUUGGUGGGAUAAAAGCUUACCAAGCCGACGAUCUGUAGCUGGUCUGAGAGGACGACCAGCCACACUGGGACUGAGACACGGCCCAGACUCCUACGGGAGGCAGCAGUGGGGAAUUUUGGACAAUGGGCGAAAGCCUGAUCCAGCAAUGCCGCGUGCAGGAUGGAGGCCUUCGGGUUGUAAACUGCUUUUGUACGGAACGAAAAGGCUCUGGCUAAUACCUGGGGCACAUGACGGUACCGUAAGAAUAAGCACCGGCUAACUACGUG
rnacentral:rRNA from 1 species